GAGACUCUGUGCGCGUGCAUAUCAAUAAGCGGAGGAAAAGAAACUAACAAGGAUUCCCCUAGUAACGGCGAGUGAAGCGGGAAGAGCUCAAAUUUGAAAUCUUAAAGGGUUUCCCUUUACGAAUUGUAGUUUAAAGAAGUGUUUUCUGUUGGAAGUUUCGGUAAAAGUUCUUUGGAAUAGGACAUCAUAGAGGGUGAGAAUCCCGUAUUUGACCAGUUACUUUCAGCUGUGUGAUACACUUUCAAAGAGUCGGAUUGUUUGGGAAUGCAGUCCAAGAUGGGUGGUAAAUUUCAUCUAAAGCUAAAUAUUGGCGAGAGACCGAUAGCGAACAAGUACCGUGAGGGAAAGAUGAAAAGAACUUUGAAAAGAGAGUUAAACAGUACGUGAAAUUGUCAAAAGGGAAGCGUUUGACACCAGUGUUGUUUAGUUCGAAAAUCAAUUACGAAUAGUUUUGUGAUUCUAGGAGUAUUGACUUCAUCAGCUUGCUGCUUUCUUCUCAGAAAUUAUUGAAUGCACUUUUCAGUUAACAAGUCAACAUCAAUUUCUUUUGUUGUAAAAGGGUAUGAGGAAGGUGGCUUUCUUUUCGGAGAAAGUGUUUAUAGCCUUGUGCCUCUGCAAUCGGAGAGAUUGAGGUCUGCAGCGUAGAUCCUUCGGGGUUAGAUACGUUUGUGCUAAGUUAUAGCUUUUCAUAGACAACUUGUUGACUAUGUUAAGUCUUGUAGCUUACUCGCUUAUGCUAUUUUACCUACGCUUAGGAUGUUGACAGCAGUAUAGACUGU
rnacentral:rRNA from 1 species